rnacentral:rRNA from 1 species
GAUGAACGCUGGCGGCGUGCCUAAUACAUGCAAGUCGAGCGAACAGACGAGGAGCUUGCUCCUCUGACGUUAGCGGCGGACGGGUGAGUAACACGUGGAUAACCUACCUAUAAGACUGGGAUAACUUCGGGAAACCGGAGCUAAUACCGGAUAAUAUAUUGAACCGCAUGGUUCAAUAGUGAAGGACGGUUUUGCUGUCACUUAUAGAUGGAUCCGCGCCGCAUUAGCUAGUUGGUAAGGUAACGGCUUACCAAGGCAACGAUGCGUAGCCGACCUGAGAGGGUGAUCGGCCACACUGGAACUGAGACACGGUCCAGACUCCUACGGGAGGCAGCAGUAGGGAAUCUUCCGCAAUGGGCGAAAGCCUGACGGAGCAACGCCGCGUGAGUGAUGAAGGUCUCCGGAUCGUAAAACUCUGUUAUUAGGGAAGAACAAAUGUGUAAGUAACUAUGCACGUCUUGACGGUACCUAAUCAGAAAGCCACGGCUAACUACGU